UUUUAGAUCCCCUUCAAAAGCCAAACAUCUUUGACCCAAAAGACGACUCUUGGCCCCCCUUUAUCCUCUCGGAUCCGACGGCCACGAAGGAGGAGAGCCCUCCGACGGCAAACCUGAAAGGCGUUUCAGGUGAGCCCCGCUCCCUUUUGUUUCUUAUUUAUUAUAUGUAAAAAAAAAGAAAAACAAACAGAAAGAGCAAACAAAGGAAAAAAAAUCGAAUCUAAGAAAAAACCUCCGUUUUGUAUUCUGUUUUUUCAAAUUUUUUUUCCUUCGUAUUUUCCCUUCUAUUUUCGUAUCUCUUUACACCGAAUCCCCCCCC
rnacentral:lncRNA from 1 species